CACUAAAAUUUGAAUUCUUUAAUUGAAUUCAUUUUCUGUCCUGUUCUGUUUAGCAAUAUUAAAAAGAAAAAGAUGCAGAUACUCUCAAAUUUUACUUAGA